UCACCCUUGGGUCUUCCUUUGAGCCAUUUUAUUGGUCCCUCUCUGUCUCAUAUUUAUUAUCAUUUUGUUGAGCGCUGAGCUUUUCUCCCUCCUCUUUCUCUCUCCCUCUUUCUCUACGUAACGUAACAAAGAGAGGAGGAGGGGGAGGAGGAAAAAAGGGAGAAAAAUGGCAGUGAUUAAUGCAUCGUCAUUUGGAGUGGUUGCAAUUGUCCUCCUCUUUUUCGCUGUCGUUUUGCCCAUGGCUCAUGCAACCAGGGUGGCUCCGGCUCCGGCUCCAGCUCCAACAAGCGAUGGCACGGCAAUAGACCAAGGGGUAGCAUACGUUCUAAUGGUGCUGGCAUUAGUUCUCACAUAUCUCAUCCACUGAAUAAUCAAUCAUCUGAGCUAUGAGAUGCAGAGAACCAGAAGGUACAGGAAGCAACCAGCAGCAUACAUAUAUACAAACCAUUGCCCACGCUAGGUGUUUUAAAUUUAGGGUGGGUGUGAUGUGGUAUGGGGUAAAUUUAUUAAUUUCGUCAGGUUAAUUCUUGUUGAAUAUUCCAAGUAUUGGAUAAAUCUCAUUAAUUUAGUACGUACGUUAAUUUGGAGGAUUCCUUGCUUCCCUUUUCUUGGUUUGAUUCUAUCAGGAAACACUUCUCUAGUCACUAUGUACAUUAAUUUGGAUAAUUUCUUGCCUUGCCUUCUCAAUUUUAAUACAUAAACUUGAAAUUUAAAAAUGGAAA